ncrna:unclassified sequences FuFi-1 RNA
CGCAGAUGCUAAGGCUAUUAUUGAGCAGUACCAUUCUGCUUAAGUGAUGCGGAUUUUGACAGAAACCGUGUGGUAAAAGUGCGGUCCUGUUUGGUAUGUACUACAUCGGGGGCCGUAACCUCGUUACAGUAAUAACGACAGUGCUACGCUACACAGCGCCCAAACAGGUGCAAAAGUUUUGGGUAAACAAAAAUGGGGGAAAGCCGUCUGUGAAACCACCACAGGCGGUUUUUC